rnacentral:lncRNA from 1 species
UUGCUCCCGGUUGGGGACGUCUGUUGGAGUUACCAAUGAAAGACGACAAGUUCGGGAUUGGGUAUCAACCAGCGCUGACUUCUACAACUUCAACACUUCAGACUCGUCAGGGGACGAUUACUUUCUCCAGUGUUGGCGUCAUCCAAUAUGGCCAGAUCUCGGCGAUCAACGAUGAAGAUGGGGAUAGUGAUUGCAACAUCGACAACUGGGUGCGCCCGAGGAUCCCGGGUGAAGUCA